CCCAGUAAUGGGGAAUAACUAAUUGAAAGAUUAGCUAAUACCGCAUACGACCUACGGGUGAAAGCAGGGGAUCUUCGGACCUUGCGUUAUUGGAGCGGCCGAUAUCUGAUUAGCUAGUUGGUAGGGUAAAAGCCUACCAAGGCGACGAUCAGUAGCUGGUCUGAGAGGACGAUCAGCCACACUGGAACUGAGACACGGUCCAGACUCCUACGGGAGGCAGCAGUGGGGAAUUUUGGACAAUGGGGGAAACCCUGAUCCAGCCAUCCCGCGUGAGUGAGGAAGGCCUUCGGGUUGUAAAGCUCUUUCGGAAGUGAAGAAAACUUAUUUCGUAAUAUGUUAUAAGAAUGACGGUAACUUUAGAAGAAGCACCGGCUAACUACGUGCCAGCAGCCGCGGUAAUACGUAGGGUGCGAGCGUUAAUCGGAAUUACUGGGCGUAAAGCGUGCGCAGGCGGUUUUGUAAGUCAGAUGUGAAAUCCCCGAGCUUAACUUGGGAACUGCGUUUGAAACUACAAGACUAGAGUGUGUCAGAGGGGGGUAGAAUUCCACGUGUAGCAGUGAAAUGCGUAGAGAUGUGGAGGAAUAUCAAUGGCGAAGGCAGCCCCCUGGGAUAACACUGACGCUCAUGCACGAAAGCGUGGGGAGCGAACAGGAUUAGAUACCCUGGUAGUCCACGCCCUA
rnacentral:rRNA from 1 species